rnacentral:rRNA from 1 species
GUUCGGCAGAGUAACUGUUGUCGGCGUGACGGUAUCCAACCAGAAAGCCACGGCUAACUACGUGCCAGCAGCCGCGGUAAUACGUAGGUGGCAAGCGUUAUCCGGAUUUAUUGGGCGUAAAGCGAGCGCAGGCGGUUUUUUAAGUCUGAUGUGAAAGCCCUCGGCUUAACCGAGGAAGUGCAUCGGAAACUGGGAAACUUGAGUGCAGAAGAGGACAGUGGAACUCCAUGUGUAGCGGUGAAAUGCGUAGAUAUAUGGAAGAACACCAGUGGCGAAGGCGGCUGUCUGGUCUGUAACUGACGCUGAGGCUCGAAAGCAUGGGUAGCGAACAGGAUUAGAUACCCUGGUAGUCCAUGCCGUAAACGAUGAAUGCUAGGUGUUGGAGGGUUUYCGCCCUUCAGUGCCGCAGCUAACGCAUUAAGCAUUCCGCCUGGGGAGUACGACCGCAAGGUUGAAACUCAAAGGAAUUGACGGGGGCCCGCACAAGCGGUGGAGCAUGUGGUUUAAUUCGAAGCAACGCGAAGAACCUUACCAGGUCUUGACAUCUUUUGAUCACCUGAGAGAUCRGGUUUCCCCUUCGGGGGCAAAAUGACAGGUGGUGCAUGGUUGUCGUCAGCUCGUGUCGUGAGAUGUUGGGUUAAGUCCCGCAACGAGCGCAACCCUUAUGACUAGUUGCCAGCAUUUAGUUGGGCACUCUAGUAAGACUGCCGGUGACAAACCGGAGGAAGGUGGGGAUGACGUCAAAUCAUCAUGCCCCUUAUGACCUGGGCUACACACGUGCUACAAUGGAUGGUACAACGAGUUGCGAGACCGCGAGGUCAAGCUAAUCUCUUAAAGCCAUUCUCAGUUCGGACUGUAGGCUGCAACUCGCCUACACGAAGUCGGAAUCGCUAGUAAUCGCGGAUCAGCACGCCGCGGUGAAUACGUUCCCGGGCCUUGUACACACCGCCCGUCACACCAKGAGAGUUUGUAACACCCGAAGCCGGUGGCGUAACCCUUUUAGGGAGCGAGCCGUCUAAG